AAAAAGUUUGAUUCUUGCUUAUAGUUUUUGUUCUUAAGUUGUGUUACACAUGCAUACUUUGGUGGGUAUGAGGAGGGUUGAGCGUUUAAGAUGUUUGCCACAAAAGACAGGAGAAGUUCGCAGUGUGGAGUUUUAAUGAUUGAAUAAAGGUUUGAUUUAGUAAAUUUAAGAAAACUUGAUUAAAUUUUGUGCCAGCAGUCGCGGUUAGACUUAGAAGUUGAAUGAAAAUGUUUCGGUGAAAGUUAUAAUGGGGUUUAGAGGUUAAUCAAGAUUUAGGAUGAUAAAAGGUGGAAUUAGUUUUGUUUGGGGAUAAAUUGAGAUUAAAGUUUAAAUUGAAAGAAGCUUAGGAAGUUGAGGUAUAAACCAGGAUUAGAUACCCUGUUAUACUCAGAAUGAAUAAAUAAACUUGAGUAUUAAUAGUUAUGGGCUUUAAAUUCAAAGAAUUUGGCGGUAUUUUAGUCUUGUUAGAGGAACCUGUUCUGUUAAUGAUACUACACGAAGAAUCUUACUUGCUUUUGUUUUUCAGUUUGUAUACCGUCAUUAUUAGAUAACCUUUGUUGAGAGAGUUAUUGAAACGCAAGGAGUUAAAUAUAUUAGAUCAAGGUGCAGCUUAUAGGUAAGUAGAAAUGGGUUACAGUAGAAUUUUUUAUGUUCGGAUUAAUAAUUGAAUAAUUGUUAUGAAGGUGGAUUUAAUUGUAAUAAAAAUUUAAUAAGUUAAUAUGAUAUGAGAACUAAAAUAUGUACAUAUCGCCCGUCGCUUCCAUUUAAGGUGGAAUAAGUCGUAACAUAGUAGGUGUACUGGAAAGUGCACCUAGAAUUAG
rnacentral:ncRNA from 1 species